GACGAACGCUGGCGGCGUGCUUAACACAUGCAAGUCGAACGGAAAGGCCCUGCUUUUGUGGGGUGCUCGAGUGGCGAACGGGUGAGUAACCCGUGAGUAACCUGCCCUUGACUUUGGGAUAACUUCAGGAAACUGGGGCUAAUACCGGAUAGGAGCUCCUGCUGCAUGGUGGGGGUUGGAAAGUUUCGGCGGUUGGGGAUGGACUCGCGGCUUAUCAGCUUGUUGGUGGGGUAGUGGCUUACCAAGGCUUUGACGGGUAGCCGGCCUGAGAGGGUGACCGGCCACAUUGGGACUGAGAUACGGCCCAGACUCCUACGGGAGGCAGCAGUGGGGAAUAUUGCACAAUGGGCGGAAGCCUGAUGCAGCAACGCCGCGUGCGGGAUGACGGCCUUCGGGUUGUAAACCGCUUUCGCCUGUGACGAAGCGUGAGUGACGGUAAUGGGGAAAGAAGCACCGGCGAACUACGU
rnacentral:rRNA from 1 species